GACGAACCGAGCGAACGUUGUUCGGAAUCACUGGGCUUAAAGGGCGCGUAGGCGGGUUCUCAAGUCCGGGGUGAAAUCCCACAGCUCAACUGUGGAACUGCCUCGGAUACUGGGGGCCUCGAGGGUGGUAGGGGUAUGCGGAACUAUCGGUGGAGCGGUGAAAUGCGUUGAUAUCGAGAGGAACACCGGUGGCGAAGGCGGCCUUCUGGACAGUGACUGACGCUGAGACGCGAAAGCGUGGGGAGCAAACAGG
rnacentral:rRNA from 1 species